rnacentral:rRNA from 1 species
AUACUUAGGGUGCGAGCGUUAAUCGGAAUUACUGGGCGUAAAGCGAGUGUAGGCGGCUGUAUAAGUCGGAUGUGAAAGCCCCGGGCUCAACCUGGGAAUUGCAUUCGAAACUGUACAGCUAGAGUUUGGUAGAGGUAAGUGGAAUUCAAGGUGUAGCGGUGAAAUGCGUAGAUAUCUUGAGGAACAUCAGUGGCGAAGGCGGCUUACUGGACCAAAACUGACGCUGAGGCUCGAAAGCGUGGGGAGCAAACAGGAUUAGAAACCCCGGUAGUCC